rnacentral:rRNA from 1 species
AUGAACGCUAGCUACAGGCUUAACACAUGCAAGUCGAGGGGCAGCAUCAUCAAAGCUUGCUUUGAUGGAUGGCGACCGGCGCACGGGUGAGUAACACGUAUCCAACCUGCCGACAACACUGGGAUAGCCUUUCGAAAGAAAGAUUAAUACCGGAUGGCAUAGUUUUCCCGCAUGGGAUAAUUAUUAAAGAAUUUCGGUUGUCGAUGGGGAUGCGUUCCAUUAGGCAGUUGGCGGGGUAACGGCCCACCAAACCUACGAUGGAUAGGGGUUCUGAGAGGAAGGUCCCCCACAUUGGAACUGAGACACGGUCCAAACUCCUACGGGAGGCAGCAGUGAGGAAUAUUGGUCAAUGGACGAGAGUCUGAACCAGCCAAGUAGCGUGAAGGAUGACUGCCCUAUGGGUUGUAAACUUCUUUUAUACGGGAAUAAAGUGAGCCACGUGUGGCUUUUUGUAUGUACCGUGUGAAUAAGGAUCGGCUAACUCCGUGCCAGCAGCCGCGGUAAUACGGAGGAUCCGAGCGUUAUCCGGAUUUAUUGGGUUUAAAGGGAGCGUAGGCGGGUUGUUAAGUCAGUUGUGAAAGUUUGCGGCUCAACCGUAAAAUUGCAGUUGAUACUGGCGACCUUGAGUGCAACAGAGGUAGGCGGAAUUCGUGGUGUAGCGGUGAAAUGCUUAGAUAUCACGAAGAACUCCGAUUGCGAAGGCAGCUUACUGGAUUGUAACUGACGCUGAUGCUCGAAAGUGUGGGUAUCAAACAGGAUUAGAUACCCUGGUAGUCCACACAGUAAACGAUGAAUACUCGCUGUUGGCGAUAUACAGUCAGCGGCCAAGCGAAAGCAUUAAGUAUUCCACCUGGGGAGUACGCCGGCAACGGUGAAACUCAAAGGAAUUGACGGGGGCCCGCACAAGCGGAGGAACAUGUGGUUUAAUUCGAUGAUACGCGAGGAACCUUACCCGGGCUUAAAUUGCAACUGACGGAACCGGAAACGGUUCUUUCUUCGGACAGUUGUGAAGGUGCUGCAUGGUUGUCGUCAGCUCGUGCCGUGAGGUGUCGGCUUAAGUGCCAUAACGAGCGCAACCCUUACGGGUAGUUACCAUCAGGUUAUGCUGGGGACUCUACCCGGACUGCCGUCGUAAGAUGUGAGGAAGGUGGGGAUGACGUCAAAUCAGCACGGCCCUUACGUCCGGGGCUACACACGUGUUACAAUGGGGGGUACAGAAGGCAGCUGCACGGCGACGUGGUGCUAAUCCCAAAAGCCUCUCUCAGUUCGGAUUGGAGUCUGCAACCCGACUCCAUGAAGCUGGAUUCGCUAGUAAUCGCGCAUCAGCCACGGCGCGGUGAAUACGUUCCCGGGCCUUGUACACACCGCCCGUCAAGCCAUGAAAGCCGGGGGUACCUGAAGUACGUAACCGCGAGGAGCGUCCUAGGGUAAAACUGGUGAUUGGGGCU